rnacentral:rRNA from 1 species
AACGAACGCUGGCGGCAUGCCUAACACAUGCAAGUCGAACGAAGCCUUCGGGCUUAGUGGCGCACGGGUGCGUAACGCGUGGGAAUCUGCCCUUGGGUUCGGAAUAACAGUUAGAAAUGACUGCUAAUACCGAAUGAUGUCUUCGGACCAAAGAUUUAUCGCCCAAGGAUGAGCCCGCGUCGGAUUAGCUAGUUGGUGAGGUAAAGGCUCACCAAGGCGACGAUCCGUAGCUGGUCUGAGAGGAUGAUCAGCCACACUGGGACUGAGACACGGCCCAGACUCCUACGGGAGGCAGCAGUAGGGAAUAUUGCACAAUGGAGGAAACUCUGAUGCAGCGACGCCGCGUGAGUGAUGAAGGACUUCGGUUUGUAAAGCUCUGUUGUCAGGGAAUAAAAAAAUGAAUAGUACCUGACGAGAGAGGACGGCUAACUUCGUGCCAGCAGCCGCGGUAAU